rnacentral:tRNA from 2 species
GGGCGUUUAGCUCAGUUGGUAGAGCAUCUGGUUUACAUCCAGAGGGUCGGGAGUUCAAGUCUCUCAACGCCCACCA